AUUUUUAUUACAAAUAUUUGCACUGUAAAAAUGAUAAACAGAAGAAAUAGUAUUUUUCAAUUCGCCUCAUACCAAGUACUGUCGUGCAAUCUUUGUCUGAAAG